GCGGAUAUGGUGAAAUUGGUAGACACGCCAGAUUUAGGUUCUGGUGGCUUGUGCCUUGGGGGUUCGAGUCCCUUUAUCCGCACCA
rnacentral:tRNA from 2 species